CUCCGGCUAUCUCAUUAGUUCGUUGUGGUGGACUGCAAUCAGCUAUUACGUUCGGCUUGUCGCAUUCUACAUAAUCGUAUUUAGAAUUAUUCCCAUGUUUACAAAUGCAUAUAUGUUCCUGCAGGCAAUCUCUAUACAAUUGUUCUUCCUUUUCUUUGUGUCCUUGAUAUGCGAAUAUAUCUUCGGCUGAACCACUUUGAACUCUG
rnacentral:lncRNA from 1 species